rnacentral:rRNA from 1 species
GCGGUUAAAAAGCUCGUAGUUGGAUUUCUGUUGAGGUCGACCGGUGCGCACCUCGUGCGUGUAUUUGGUUCGGUCUCGGCAUCCUCCUGGGGAACGUGUCAGGACUUUAUUGGACUGCGCGAGAUUCAGGACUUUUACUUUGAGGAAAUUAGAGUGUUCACGGCAGGCAAGUGCUUUGAAUACAUUAGCAUGGAAUAAUAAUAUAGGACCUUCGUUCUAUUUUGUUGGUUUCUAGAACUUAGGUAAUGAUUAAUAGGGACAAUUGGGGGCAUUCGUAUUAACGCGUCAGAGGUGGAAUUCUUGGAUUGCGUUACGGCGAACUACUGCGAAAGCAUUUGCCAAAGAUGUUUUCAUUGAUCAAGAACGAAAGUAUGGGGAUCGAAGACGCUUAGAUACCGUCGUAGUCUAUACCAUAAACUAUGCCAACUAGAGAUUGGUGGGGUUAUCCUAUGUGGCUCCAUCAGCAUCUUAUGAGAAAUCGAAGUUUUUGGGUUCCGGGGGGAGUAUGGUCGCAAGGCUGAAACUUAAAGGAAUUGACGGAAGGGCACCACCAGGAGUGGAGCCUGCGGCUUAAUUUGACUCAACACGGGAAAACUCACCAGGUCCAGACAUAGUAAGGAUUGACAGAUUGAUAGCUCUUUCUUGAUUCUGUGGGUGGUGGUGCAUGGCCGU